GCCAUGCUGAGCUGAGAGACGGCGACCUAGCCAAGCGUUGCCCCGCUGCUACCCCUUCAAAACACGCCGGGAGGAAAGCGGAAACAAAAGCAAGGAAGUUCUCCUCACGAUCUGUCUUGGUGCUGGAUUUCUCCCUCAGCCAUUUCUGAAUCUGGGAAGAAUAUCUUAAGAAGAUUUAAUGAAUCAAUAUUUGCCAACCACUGCUAUGACUGACAACCUGAGGAUAUUGUAAUUCUCUCC